UAUCAGAGGUUGGGUCCUCUGGCCUUGCGUUAUUUGGAUAGCGGUAGUUGGACUGCCGGGUCUCCUUUGGUUGGAUAGCGGUAGUUAGUCUGCCGGGUCUCCUUGUCGUUUAGCUUGGUCACUGGGUCUCCUCUGUCGCAGUGGUUGGUUCCACUGACCUUGUAUUGUGUGGAUAGCGGCAGUUAGUCUGCCGGGUCUCCUUGUUGUCUUGCUUUGCCACUGGGUCCCCUCUGUACCAGAGGCUGGGUCCACUGGCCUUGCGUUAUUUGGAUAGCGGCAGUUGGACUGCCGGGUCUCCAUGUCUCACUGUAACAGGGUCCCCUCUGUAUCAGAGGUUGGGUCCUCUGGCCUUGCGUUAUUUGGAUAGCGGUAGUUGGACUGCCGGGUCUCCUUUGGUUGGAUAGCGGUAGUUAGUCUGCCGGGUCUCCUUGUCGUUUAGCUUGGUCACUGGGUCUCCUCUGUCGCAGUGGUUGGUUCCACUGACCUUGUAUUGUGUGGAUAGCGGCAGUUAGUCUGCCGGGUCUCCUUGUUGUCUUGCUUUGCCACUGGGUCCCCUCUGUACCAGAGGCUGGGUCCACUGGCCUUGCGUUAUUUGGAUAGCGGCAGUUGGACUGCCGGGUCUCCAUGUGUCACUGUAACUGGGUCCCCUCUGUACCGGAGGCUGGUCCCCCGAGAGUCCUUGUCAUAUAGGCUCCCCCCCCCUGAGCGAGUUGGGUUGUCGUCGGGGCGCCGACACAAAAAGUAGGGGUGGAUUGUAGCAGGUUGGCCCUGCCAUCACGUUAGUGUGUGUGAUUGACAGCUGCUGAUUGACAGCAGUGGGCGGGCAUAAUCUAUUUAUAUGAAUGGACCCUUGCUUCCUGUCUCGUUUCCGCCACACAUUGUUUUGGCGUGAGCCUGGGCUGCGUUUGUUGCCGAGGGGCCGCAGAUGAACCGUGAGGUGCGGCGUUCACUCAGCACUUGUGAUCGCUUGGGAGCGCACUGAUAAACUCCAAGGAGCUAGGAGCUGUGUGGACACUGGUUGGCCUGCUCGUGGAGGUAGUUGGUGUGGCGUGGUGAUCCUCGAAAGCGUUGUGCUGGUGACUCGCGUGUCUGAGCCUUCAUCCGCGGCCCCUCCGGCACGAACCAACCAGUGUGUCUGUGCCUACGGGUCUGUCGGCUGCUGUUUCGCCUGGGACAAUUUGGGUUUGAGUCUCCCCUUGCUUUGCACCUGCAGCGCUGUGGCUUGGCCGUGCUUCGCUGGGUACGGGGAGGAAUUGCGCUUGUAGCCACGCUUGCCCCUUCACCUCGCUUUGCCUGCACGGAGCGUGCAUGUCUGUCAUAACUGUCCGAGGGUGCGCGGUUUCAGUGGCUCCGCCUGCUUU